CCUACGGGAGGCAGCAGUGAGGAAUAUUGGUCAAUGGUCGGGAGACUGAACCAGCCAAGCCGCGUGAGGGAGGAAGGUACAGAGUAUCGUAAACCUCUUUUGUCAGGGAACAAAGGCGGGGACGUGUCCCCGGAUGAGUGUACCUGAAGAAAAAGCAUCGGCUAACUCCGUGCCAGCAGCUGCGGUAAUACGGAGGAUGCGAGCGUUAUCCGGAUUUAUUGGGUUUAAAGGGUGCGCAGGCGGUCUGUUAAGUCAGCGGUCAAAGCCCGGGGCUCAACCCCGGCCCGCCGUUGAAACUGGCAGUCGCGAGUUGGAGAGAAGUAUGCGGAAUGCGCGGUGUAGCGGUGAAAUGCAUAGAUAUCGCGCAGAACUCCGAUUGCGAAGGCAGCAUGCCGGCUCCACACUGACGCUGAGGCACGAAAGCGUGGGUAUCGAACAGGAUUAGAUACCCGGGUAGUC
rnacentral:rRNA from 1 species